rnacentral:rRNA from 1 species
ACUCCUACGGGAGGCAGCAGUGGGGAAUAUUGCACAAUGGGCGCAAGCCUGAUGCAGCCAUGCCGCGUGUAUGAAGAAGGACCAUUCCGGGUUUGUGAAAUGUAACUUUCAGUCAGUGAGGAAGGUAGUGUAGUUAAUAGCUGCAUUAUUUGACGUUAGCUGCAGAAGAAGCACCGGCUAACUCCGUGCCAGCAGCCGCGGUAAUACGGAGGGUGCGAGCGUUAAUCGGAAUUACUGGGCGUAAAGCGCAUGCAGGUGGUUUGUUAAGUCAGAUGUGAAAGCCCGGGGCUCAACCUCGGAAUAGCAUUUGAAACUGGCAGACUAGAGUACUGUAGAGGGGGUAGAAUUUCAGGUGUAGCGGUGAAAUGCGUAGAGAUCUGAAGGAAUACCGGUGGCGAAGGCGGCCCCCUGGACAGAUACUGACACUCAGAUGCGAAAGCGUGGGGAGCAAACAGGAUUAGAUACCCUGGUAGCUACG